AAAAAAAAAAAAAAAAAAAAAGUACAAAACUAGUGCUCAUACAGUUGAUAACACAAACUUCCCACGUCUUUGUGAAAUAAUAAACAAAUCCAGCUACUAAAUCAAUCUCCAUGGAUGGUGUAACGCUCCCACUUCUUUGAUGGGUCAUAUAUCUCCCAUCUUGAAGCAGGGAAAAUGUGUUUGUUCUUCUCAUACCAGUGCCUCUCAACAACUUUACCUGCAUGAGACUCAUCCUUCUCUAUUGUAGCAUCAGCUAUAGUCCGCACAUCCUCAUGCACAUCAAAGUGAAAUAGUGGUCCACUUUUGCCCCUAGCCUUGUUAACAAUAAGCUCAUAGAAGCUGUGUUGAUGGGGAAUGAUGAGAUCUUCUUUCACAUAAAGUAAAUUCUCCACAGAUGUCGUUCUGAUUUCCCUAAACUCAGGUGCAAGUUGCUGCUGAACUGCCCUAAGAAACUCUCCUAUGGUAUCACCUUUGCGUACCUGGAUCACUCUCCUAUGGCCUGCUCCAUCCCAGUAGCUGUAAGUAAUUUCAAGGGGCUCAUUUCGAAUCUGUUCCUGUUCAUGAAGCCACUGUUUCCGCAAUCUUUCACGCUCAGCUUGCUCCUCUGCCUCCCGCUCACUGUCAGGCAAGAAGCUUGUUUCCACCGUGGGAUCUUUGCCAAAUUUUCCAUGCACUAAUCUGUUUGACUCUAAACCUUUGUCUUCAGCGUCCUCUUCUUCACUUCCGUUCUCAAUAUCAUCAGCAAACGAUAAUCGAGGAUUCACCUUAAUCUUUCUCUUCUUUCGCUUUUCCAACUGAAGCUCCUCCUCCUCUUGCCGUAACUUUUGUAGCUUCUCCUUUUCUUCCUCUUCAAUUUUAUUCUGAAUAUUAACCCUCUUCUCAACAUAUUGCUCUCUUGUAACCAAACCCACAGUCUCCUUCUUAAAUGCAGUCUCAAGAAUCUCUGAGGUGCUUGACCCGAAUUGGAGGAGGCCAGGUUGGCCCUUGGCGGAGGCGGACUUGGUCUUAAGCUCUUGGAUUUUGCGACGCUCAGCUUCUCGCUGCUUCUCUAACCGCCGGAUCCUCACGGCGUCUUGGGCCGUGCCCACGUACCCGUCUCCCAUGCCCGACAUCUUUUGCUUUCUUUUUCCUGUCCCCUGUUAUGCCUCCCUGGAAAAUGGGUUUUGGCCCUCGUUUGUUGCCCGAUAAAAUGAUCGACGAAUGAUGAGAAGGCU
rnacentral:misc_RNA from 1 species